CUACAAAACAAAUGACUGAAGGCACAUUUGCAAUUGCAUAAUUGUAAAUGCAAGUGGGACAUUCUGAUGGUUUCAUCUUUUGCCUUUAUUAUUUCUCAUAUUCUCUUGAUUUAGUGACAAGCAGCUUUUGCAUUCUUUUUCUCUUAGUAUGUAAAAGUAGAGUUUAUUCUAAAUUUAUUUCCAUUUACUAGAGAGAGAAAGAGAAAGAAUAUUUUCCAUUCACAAGCUUCCUGGUUCUUGCACUCAGCAUGAUAAUUGUCGCCAAUAUUUUCACCAAAUCCGCAAUUUUACGCUAAACAAAGUAUAUCUUCUUUCUUUUUUUAAGGUACUUCAUCUUCUGUACCGAAAAAACAUUUUUUUAUAUAUAUAUGCACAAAAAAAGUCCAAAAACAACAAAAAAACAUGGAGUUCAUAACAUCACCAUUUUCUUGGACAACUAACAAACUGCAGCACAAUGCUUCUUGCGGGAGAGUGGAAUAGCCUACCUGUUUGCCAUUUUAUUAAUCAGACUAACUAACUGCCACAAGAAAAAUGUUUCUCAUACCAAAUUUUUUACUGCUUCAAUUAUUUUACUUGAUAUGACAUCAUUUUAUUCAUCAUAUUCCCUUGUGUGCCUAUCCUUGUGUGCCUAUGCCUUUUCCCCAUAUCAGACAAUGUUAAGAGCCAGCAGAAAUUUAAGUACAGACUAAUCUUGCCACACAAACCCACAAAUAGAAUUGAAUUUAUACAUUUCCAGCGCCAAAUUAGGAAAUAUGAACUCAGUUGUAAUCAUUCAACAUAAUAUAGAGAACCGAAAAUUACAUCUCCAAAACAUCAGUGAAAAGAUCAUUUAUUCAUUUGCAAGAAUAAUACUUUAUCCUGAGUUAAUAUACGUACUAAAAAGCAUUAAAUGAAACAAAAUGCUAAGAACCCCAAAAGAAAGAUGCAACUCUACCAUAACUGUAAAAGGAUCAAUUUCAUUUUUCCCUUUUAGCUACUUACUUGUUUCCCUUAAUCCUGAACCAGGCUUCUGCGCACUGCUUGUGAGCAGCAGCCAAAUCAUCCUUGCACGAACAACCCAACUCAAUAGGCAAACCAGAAUCCUGAUUCCCAGCAUCCAAGCCAAGAUGACAAAUCCUGCAGUCUCUUUCAACCUUUACCAAAUGUACCUUAAUAUCGGACACCCAACGCUCCAGAUCCACCUCUGACACAGAAGAUCUGCUCUCCUUCACAAUUUCACUGCUAGCGCCAGACUCACUUGAAGAGCUUCUUUGCUCUUUAUCAUCUGACUGGUGAUGAUGACUGCUUUUCCCUACGUCACCAUCAUCAUCAACAACAUCAACAACAACAUGGGGUUUCUGUGAAGGUUCCAUUUUCAAGACCCAGAUGGUGAAUCUUCAUGUAAUGGCUCUGUGAGGCAAAGAUCAUAAAUACCCACCACAAUAGCUCUAUGUAAACUCUCACAACCUCCGUUAAAGUAUCUACUAUACUCUGUUUCUUUCUCUUCCCCUCCGUCAGUUUUGAACAGAACUUGAAGUGGGGAGAGAAAGAUCAACAGAGAACUUACAGAGAAAAUAUCAAAAUACAGUAUUAUGCGGAGAGUAGAAGAAAUGAUAAUGAAAGUUGCCUACUUUCCUUCCCUUAUUGGCAAAAAUUCCUGUUUUUGAGUGUAAAGUGCUGCCCUGAAGUAUUUUUUACCUACAUGUUAAUUGGGUCAGUGCAAGCAAAGAAAACAUGAGCAGCUAACUAAAAUGAUUGACAGAAAGAGAAAGUUGCUAAAAAGCAAAGGAUUUGGAGGAUGAUUUGAUAUUGAAGUGACCUGUUAAAUCUAAUUUUUCCUACGACAGCAAAGCCAUAGGAUAAUGUGUGAUAAACAAGCAAAUUUUUAUUUGUCUUCUUCAGUGCCUUUUUCCUUUUUUUAUUGCACCAUGGACCUAUACUGCCUAUGAUUUGGAUGAGGCAAGUACCCACUUAAGCCCCAAGUGGGCAAUAUUGUCCUUCACCUUUCUGAUAUAAAAGCUUGUUUCAAGGGGUUAAAAUGGACUUGUAAUUCUAAUCAUGUGUUAAGGGUGGCUUUCUCUCUUUAUGUUGUGGCAGAUCAUCAGCAGCAGCUUCAUGAUUGUGCCUGAUUUUUCCGAAGCCUAGCUUUAGGUUUUACCUUGUGUAAUUGGGGCACUGUCUUAAGUUAACAUAUGGUCAAAGUAGUAAUCUGGAGACAGACAGGGGACCAAUAUUACAAGGCCACAGAGCAGCUUCCUUUCUUUUUAAAUUUACUGCAAUAUCUGAUUAACAAGGCCACAGAGCAGGGGACCAGUUGACGCUUGACAGAGAACCAUGCCCCAAGAAGGAGAACCAGUUCUUGACAUAUCACACCACACAAAGAAAUUGAGAAUUGAGGAUGAACCCAGUUUCUGGUUUUCCCACAGAUCUUGGACUAUUAUCAGGAAAGUGGGUAUACAAUCCAUACAUCUUUGGCUUUGCCAUUGAAAAAUCAGUUAGCUGCAACAAUCGGCUGAGUGUGAC
rnacentral:misc_RNA from 1 species